rnacentral:rRNA from 1 species
AACGGCCAUACCAUGCUGCAUAUACCGGUUCUCGUUCGAUCACCGAAGUCAAGCAUCAUCGGACGCGGUCAGUACUUGGGAGGGUGACCAUCUGGGAACACCGGGUGCCGUU